rnacentral:rRNA from 1 species
AACAAACGCUGGCGGCGUGCAUAACACAUGCAAGUCUAACGGGAAUGUCGGCUUCGGCUGACUAGUACCGUGGCGAACGGGUGAGUAACACGUGGGUAAUCUGCCCUCGAGCUCGGGAUAACCUUGCGCAAGCGAGGCUAAUACCGAAUAAGACCACGCUUGGUUCGCCAGGUGCGGUAAAAGGCGGCCUCUUCUUGAAAGCUGUCACUCGAGGAUGAGCCCGCGGCCUAUUAGCUAGUUGGUGGGGUAAUGGCCUACCAAGGCGACGAUGGGUAACCGGCCUGAGAGGGUGUACGGCCACACUGGCACUGAGAUACGGGCCAGACUCCUACGGGAGGCAGCAGUGGGGAAUUUUGCGCAAUGGGGGAAACCCUGACGCAGCAACGCCGCGUGAGUGAUGAAGGCCUUCGGGUCGUAAAGCUCUUUUAGUGGGGAAGAAUCCCACCCGGGCUAAUACCUCGGGUGUCUGACGGUACCCACAGAAAAAGUUCCGGCUAACUACGUGCCAGCAGCCGCCGUAAUAC